rnacentral:rRNA from 1 species
CAAAGGUGAGCCAGUACAGGAUGGACCCGCGUCUGAUUAGCUAGUUGGUAAGGUAACGGCUUACCAAGGCGACGAUCAGUAGCCGACCUGGGAGGGUGAUCGGCCACAUUGGAACUGAGACACGGUCCAAACUCCUACGGGAGGCAGCAGUGGGGAAUAUUGCACAAUGGGCGAAAGCCUGAUGCAGCAACGCCGCGUGAGUGAUGAAGGCCUUCGGGUCGUAAAACUCUGUCCUCAAGGAAGAUAAUGACGGUACUUGAGGAGGAAGCCCCGGCUAACUACGUGCCAGCAGCCGCGGUAAUACGUAGGGGGCUAGCGUUAUCCGGAUUUACUGGGCGUAAAGGGUGCGUAGGCGGUCUUUCAAGUCAGGAGUGAAAGGCUACGGCUCAACCGUAGUAAGCUCUUGAAACUGGGAGACUUGAGUGCAGGAGAGGAGAGUGGAAUUCCUAGUGUAGCGGUGAAAUGCGUAGAUAUUAGGAGGAACACCAGUUGCGAAGGCGGCUCUCUGGACUGUAACUGACGCUGAGGCACGAAAGCGUGGGGAGCAAACAGGAUUAGAUACCCUGGUAGUCCACGCUGUAAACGAUGAGUACUAGGUGUCGGGGGUUACCCCCUUCG